UACGUAGGGUGCAAGCGUUGUCCGGAAUUAUUGGGCGUAAAGAGCUCGUAGGCGGUCUGUCGCGUCGGCUGUGAAAACCCGGAGCUCAACUCCGGGCCUGCAGUCGAUACGGGCAGACUGGAGUUCGGCAGGGGAGACUGGAAUUCCUGGUGUAGCGGUGAAAUGCGCAGAUAAUCAGGAGGAACACCGGUGGCGAAGGCGGGUCUCUGGGCCGAUACUGACGCUGAGGAGCGAAAGCGUGGGGAGCGAACAGG
rnacentral:rRNA from 1 species